rnacentral:lncRNA from 1 species
UUUAAUAUUUUUCUGUGGAGCUAAGCUUGACUUUGGUUACAGCUUUAUAAUAUUUUAACAUAUAAUCAGACUAAUUUAUUUAUUUGUUGAUUUAUUAUUUUUUAAAUAUGGUUUGAGACUUCUGAUGUUUCAAUAUUUAUUGCACACGUGUAGUGCAGUGGCUUCAAUAAAUAUGGUAUUGUAAAGUUUAAAGCUUUUUGCAUGUGAAUGAGCUGGUGUGUACACUUUCAUUGAUGUUUAGAUUCAUGUAUGUGGUUAUCUCUGAUCUGGGUACACGUUAGAUUUUAAUUUUAUGGCAUGGUCCAUUUGACCAAAUAUUUUUGUUACUUGAACUGAUGAACACGAAUUUUGAAGUGAAUACGUGUGUUUGAUUGCUGGAUUUUGUAAGAUUCCUUUGUAGAAAUAUUUUAAUCCCACGAACAGUAUGAUUCAGCAAAUAGCUUUGGGAAUGGUAUUGAUUCUAUUCUUGUUUGUUUAUUCAUAUAAGAACUUUGAUGCAACCUUCAGAUUCCUUUUGAACCAUGUAGUUAUAUAUUUGGAUUAGUUUAUAGAUGUUUUUUGUUACUUCCGCUCUUGAUUGCUUAUCAUAUGUUAGUUAAAGAGCAAACAUUAUACAAGUUCUUUAUUGAUUAGUGCUCUUUCGUAUAACGGGUUCGUUACUGAUGUUCACUUUCUUAUUUGACUUUGUUUAUGCAGUUCUUGUAGCGAGAUUGUGUAAUUUGAAUAUUCAGAUACUUCCGUAGCUAAUGGCUUCGCCAGAUAUUGAGUCUCCCUGGCUUUGUGCCGCUGGUGAAUCCUUCCGUGCACGGUCGUUUAAUAUACGCGUGGAGAAGGGGAAUGCAGCUGAUAUUUUACAUGUGCUGGAAGUUCCCACCUCUUCUGUACCCUAUAACUGUAGUAUACCCAAGCCACCCCCUCUCCCA